rnacentral:rRNA from 1 species
AUUGAACGCUGGCGGCAGGCCUAACACAUGCAAGUCGAGCGGGGUUUUCGGACCUAGCGGCGGACGGGUGAGUAAUGCGUAGGAAGCUACCCGAUAGAGGGGGAUACCAGUUGGAAACGACUGUUAAUACCGCAUAAUGUCUACGGACCAAAGUGUGGGACCUUCGGGCCACAUGCUAUCGGAUGCGCCUACGUGGGAUUAGCUAGUUGGUGAGGUAAUGGCUCACCAAGGCGACGAUCCCUAGAUGGUUUGAGAGGAUGAUCAGCAACACUGGAACUGAGACACGGUCCAGACUCCUACGGGAGGAAGAAGUGGGGAAUAUUGGACAAUGGGCGAAAGCCUGAUCCAGCCAUGCCGCGUGUGUGAAGAAGGCCUUCGGGUUGUAAAGCACUUUCAGUAAGGAGGAAGAGUUGUGUGUUAAUAGUACACAGCUUUGACGUUACUUACAGAAGAAGCACCGGCUAACUCUGUGCCAGCAGCCGCCGUAAGAC